ensembl:snRNA U2 U2 spliceosomal RNA
AUCGCUUCUCGGCCUUUUGGCUAAGAUCAAGUGUAGUAUCUGUUCUUAUCAGACGCUGCAUCUGGUUUUACGAGUUGCGAUCCGCUCCUUGGGGUGGAGAAGGUUAUUGCUUAAUCUGUAGCAAGACCUUUU